AACGAACGCUGGCGGCAUGCCUAACACAUGCAAGUCGAACGAGACCUUCGGGUCUAGUGGCGCACGGGUGCGUAACGCGUGGGAACCUGCCCUUAGGUUCGGAAUAACUCCCCGACAGGGGUGCUAAUACCGGAUAAUGUCUUCGGACCAAAGAUUUAUCGCCUUUGGAUGGGCCCGCGUUGGAUUAGCUAGUUGGUAGGGUAAAAGCCUACCAAGGCGACGAUCCAUAGCUGGUCUGAGAGGAUGAUCGGCCACACUGGGACUGAGACACGGCCCAGACUCCUACGGGAGGCAGCAGUGGGGAAUAUUGGACAAUGGGCGAAAGCCUGAUCCAGCAAUGCCGCGUGAGUGAUGAAGGCCUUAGGGUUGUAAAGCUCUUUUACCCGGGAUGAUAAUGACAGUACCGGGAGAAUAAGCUCCGGCUAACUCCGUG
rnacentral:rRNA from 1 species